rnacentral:misc_RNA from 1 species
CUACGGAAAAAUUACCAUAUAUUUAAAUAUGGCUUCCAAAAAUAAAAAUAUUAUUUUAAUUCGCAUUCUUUUUUUGAAUAUAAAUUUAGUUACUUUUUUUAAUUCAUUUUCCUCCUUGUUUAUUAUAAUUGGUAUAUAUGCCUAGUUUUGAGAGCUCUAUUGUUCUCAAAUUUUGUUUAAAUAACAAAAUUUUAGUUCUUUCAAAACUGAAUAGUAACAAUUUUAUUUCUGAUUGAAAAACAGAAAUAAUUCCAAUAAUCUUUUAAAAUUAAACCGAGUUUAUUUUUUAUUCAUAAUUUCGAUUAUGAAUAAGAUUAUUUCAAGAUUGUUAAAAUACCUUAAGAUAUAUUAUCUAAAAAAUAGGCUAUACUCAAAAAAUA